UACAGAGGUCCCGAGCGUUGUUCGGAUUUAUUGGGCGUAAAGGGUGCGUAGGCGGCGGAGUAAGUUGGGUGUGAAAUCCCGGGGCUUAACCUCGGAAUUGCAUUCAAUACUGCUUCGCUCGAGUACUGGAGAGGAGGCUGGAAUUUACGGUGUAGCAGUGAAAUGCGUAGAUAUCGUAAGGAAGGCCGGUGGCGAAAGCGAGCCUCUGGACAGUUACUGACGCUGAUGCACGAAGGCCAGGGGAGCAAACAGG
rnacentral:rRNA from 1 species